AUUGAACGCUGGCGGCAGGCCUAACACAUGCAAGUCGAACGAGUGGCGGACGGGUGAGUAAUGUCUGGGAAACUGCCUGAUGGAGGGGGAUAACUACUGGAAACGGUAGCUAAUACCGCAUACCAUCGGAUGUGCCCAGAUGGGAUUAGCUAGUAGGUGGGGUAAAGGCUAACCUAGGCGACGAUCCCUAGCUGGUCUGAGAGGAUGACCGGCCACACUGGAACUGAGACACGGUCCAGACUCCUCCGGGAGGCAGAAGUGGGGAAUAUUGCACAAUGAGCGCAAGCCUGAUGAAGCCAUGCCGCGUGUAUGAAGAAGGCCUUCGGGUUGUAAAGUACUUUCAGCGGGGAGGCGUUACCCACAGAAGAAGCACCGGCUAACUCCGUGCCAGCAGCCGCGGUAAUUC
rnacentral:rRNA from 1 species